UCCGGUGAUGAUGCCUAAAUGGAACCACCUGUACCCAUACCGAACACAGUAGUUAAGCAUUUAGAGGCCGAAAGUACUUGCAUGGAAACG
rnacentral:rRNA from 1 species